rnacentral:misc_RNA from 1 species
GGAAGGAUCAUUAACACGUUAUCCACGUAUCAACCAAUCGCGAACUUGUUUUCCCGUCUCCCUUUGCAAUUAGAAUGAAUCGGAACCAGUUUGAGGGAAUUGAUGUGGAUUGCAGUCAAAUGCAAUCGGCCUUCCUGGUAUACAGACGAACCCUGAAAAGGGAUUGUUGACGAUUGAAUCUUAUUGCUUAAAGGCCAAAAUUUCUUCUGCUAUUUUGAUCUCCAUCAUGAUCAAUAAAAUAGUGGAGGAGUACAAACCUUAUAAACUAUUUUCACCACCUUUUUGCUAGUUGACUUUUUAUCUGUGAUCGUUUUGCUUUUUAGCAAUGCAGUUGCACGUUUAAUUUUACUUGAACGUUAAAAAUAUACAACUCUUAGCAAUGGAUAUCUUGGUUCUCGCGACGAUGAAGAACGCAGCGAAAUGCGAUACGUAAUGCGAAUUGCAGAAUUCAGUGAAUCAUCAAAUCUUUGAACGCAAAUUGCGCUCUUGGGUAGCCCUAGGAGCACGCCUCUCUCAGUAUCGGUUCAACAAUCUCUCAGCAGCGUGUUUGGAAUGAGAAUAGAAUAGAUCUUUCGGGAUUUGUUUUUGUUUGUUCUAAAAUGCGUGUUGGCUGGAUAAUGAGAGUCUGUAUGCUUUGUCUUACAGUCUCUUGAAAUACAUGGAGUAAGCAUAAACUAAACGAUUGAAUUUUCUCUCUUCGGAGAGAGAAUAGUAGAGUCUCUGACUUUGCUUUAUUUUCGAAUAGUGACGUGAAUAUUGAUCAGCAAUGAUCUACUUUUAUGUUUAUCUAUUUGAUAGCUAAGCUAUUAUAAGUCUAGGAUUUAACGAAAAGAUUGUUACUUAUUAGUUUGUUAUGUUUACGUAUAGAAAUCCAUAUGGACUGACAGUUUUUAAUUAAAUAGACAGUCCUGAAUUUUUGAUCUGAGAUGAAGCGAGACAACCCCCUGAAUUUAAGCAUAUUAAUAAGGGGAGGAAAAGAAACUAACAAGGAUUCCCCCAGUAACGGCGAGUGAAGCGGGAAGAGCUCAAUUUGAAAAUCGAUUACCUAAACGGGUCAUCGAAUUGUAGCCUAGAGACGUACUAUCAGCUGAAACCUGGGUAUAAGUUCUUUGGAAUGAGGCAUCAUAGAGGGUGAGAAUCCCGUUUAUGACCCAAAGCUUUCAGCGUACGAUGUAUGUUCAUCGAGUCGAGUUGUUUGGGAUUGCAGCUCUAAAUGGGUGGUAAGUUUCAUCUAAAGCUAAAUAAUGGCGAGAGACCGAUAGCGAACAAGUACCGUGAGGGAAAGAUGAAAAGAACUUUGAAAAGAGAGUUAAAAGUACUUGAAAUUGCUAAGAGGGAAGCGCUAAAAACCAGUGAUACGCUAGGUCAAUCGUUUUCGGCUCUUCGUAAAUAGUGUCAAGCAAUGGGCAACCUUGUUUGGUGUUAUUGAAAGAGUGGUCGGAGAUUCCCUGAUUUAGUGUCAGUCAAGAUCAAUUCGGAUUGUGGGAGAAGGUAGCGAGAAAGGUAGGAGAGGGAGCAAUUCUUCUCUGUUAUAUUCUUGUUACUCUACCUCGGCCUGGAUUGAGGAAGUAAUGGUGCGCCGCUUGCGGCUUGAUCCUGCGUCUCUGUUGUCCUACUUGCUCCGAUAGCAAUGCUAUCUCUGUGAGGAAAGGCAAUACUGGGCGUGGUGAUUCUAUGUGCCAUCACGAUCUUGUACGAAAUGGUUUUUAUCGACCCGUCUUGAAACACGGACCAAGGAGUCUAACAUCUAUGCAAGUAUUUGGGUGAAAAACCCUGAUGCGUAAUGAAAGUAAAGGUAGAGCUUGCUCUGCUGAGGUAGGAAUCCCUGAUCAAAGGGGGAGGCACUAUCGACCGAUCAUCACUUGUGAAAGAUUUGAGUAAGAGCAUAUCUGUUGGGACCCGAAAGAUGGUGAUCUAUGCCUGAACAGGGUGAAGCCAGGGGAAACUCUGGUGGAGGCUCGUAGCGAUACUGACGUGCAAAUCGUUCGUCUGAUUUGGGUAUAGGGGCGAAAGACUAAUCGAACCAUCUAGUAGCUGGUUCCCUC